GGCCAACAAGGCAGAGUUCAUCUCAGCCUAUGCUACCCUCCAGUCCCUCGACUUGGCGCUGACGGAAACAUGGAUUACCACAGCUGAGGCGCAACACGCCGCACAAGGAGCAGAAGCCAGCACCUGGAGGCAGUACUACACCUGUAGAAGGAUAAACCAGGGAUGGCACGGGCAAGGGUUAGGUUUUGAAUAUAAUUGUGUUUCAUAUCAACUAGCUUGUUUUACGGUGCACAGGCCUAUCUCCUGUUCAUCCCUCUCCUUCUGAUGAUGUUAUUAUAUUUAGGUGUAGUACUUAAAAUUGCCUGUAGAUGUCCUCCUAAGAUCAUAAAUAGACUAAAAUGAGUUCUAAAAUGCCUUUUUCUGUGUGACAGUACAGGAGCUGAUGUGGUGAGAUUAAUUCAACCAGUGUUGUUAAAUAUGAACAUAAAAGCAAUAUUGUGCAUUUAGUUGGUUUUAUUGUUUUAUUCUGUUAAAAGAAUGAGAUUAAGAGAGGUGGAUGGUUUGAUGUGGUCUGUGAGGGUUGGAUGAAUGGGAGAGAGGACUGCCAAUGUGUUGUUUUUAAUGGUUCUUAAAAAUCGUUUUGAAUAUCCUCUUCUUCUGAUUGCAUUGAAUAGUGUAUUUAUUGCAUAAUCCAGGUCUUGCUUGCAAGAUGAUAUCCUGUAGAACCGUAUGAUUUGUGAUUUUAUUAUUCCCUUAAAUGUAUGUUUAGGAUGGUAACUGUGUUUAUGGAGUAAAGCAUGUGUGUCUGUUGGUUUGAAGUAGACUCUAGUGUGUAGUGUUUUCUGUGGUUGAUUGUUAUUACUGAAAAACACUGUUGUGUCUAAGAAGUUGACUUCUUGCGGAUGAAUUGUGUAUUUAACCUUAAUUGAUGAAUGAUGGCUGUUGAGAAUGUUCAUAAAGUCUGUGAAUAAUUGGAUGUCGUGGGGCCAGGCUCCUAUUAUGUCGUCUAAAAACCGGUAAUAAAAAGUGGGUUGAUAUGGACACUUGGCCAGUGCCUCUCUCUCCCAUUCAGCCAUGUAUAUGUUGGCGUAAGCAGGUGCGAAUUUUUUGCCCAUAGCUGUUCCCUCCACCUGCAGGUAAUAGUGAUCGUUGAAUAAAAAGUCAUUGCUAGUCAGGCUGAUUUCUAAUAGUUGUAAUAUUUCUGUGUCCGGUCUAGUGUUGUCUGGGUAUCUCUUAAAGAUAUUUCUAAUUGCUUGUAUUCCUGUUGCUGUAUUUAUAUUAGUAUACAGGCUAUCAAUAUCUAUGGUGAAUAUGUGUGUGUUGGAGGGAACAACUAUGGGUCCAAUCCUCUCCAUGAAGUGAUAAGUGUCCCUGAGAAAGCUGGGGUGCCUGGUGGAGAGAGGGUUAAUAUAAUGAUCUAUGUAUUGUGAAAUGUUAUAGGAUUCACUAUUGCAGUCUGACACAAUCGGUCUGCCAGGAGGAACUUCAAAGGGAAUUGUCCAUGUCCCUGGUUCCUUGUGUACUUUUAACAGUAAGUAGAAUAGUCUAGGUCGUGGAGUAUCUGUGCCAUAGAGAAAGUCCCGUUGUUUUGCUGUGAUGUAGUGUUGGUCGUAGAGUCUUUUUAUUAUUGUCCUUAACUGUGUCUGUGUCUGUGGUUGUAUACUAUUUUCUAUUGGUUUAUAAUGUUUGGUGUUGGAUAGCUGUCUGUUGGCUUCAUACAUGUAUUGAUGUUUAUCCAAUAUUACUAUUUUUGAACCUUUAUCUGCUGGUUUGAUGAUUAUGUGUGGGUUAUUUUUAAGUUGUUGUAUUGCCUGUCUUUCUACGUGUGUGAGGUUAUCCUCCCUAUCCGUGUGAAUCUGGUGGUUGUGAAGUGUGUUCUUGUCUGUUCUGAUUAAUCUCCUGAUUCUACCAUCUAUCUGGGAGGUUUUAGGUUCCCAGGUAGAUGGUAAGGUAAAUGGUUGGUGGUUGUCGUCUGUGUUAUAGUCAAAGUAGUCCAACAGUUUAAGUCUUCUAUGAUAUUUGUGAGUGUCCCUUUGAAGUUCCUCCCAAUCAAAUUUGUUUGGGCGAGGGAUGAAUGUCAACCCUCUCUCCAGGAGCUUUACCUGUGCUGCUGUGGGUAUGAAGGAUUUGGAAAGAUUCAUGAUAUUAGAUGUUGACUGGUCCACUGCUCCCCCUGGUGGAGGAUCUGCACCGGUUAUUAGGGAAGGAGAGAGAUUGAAAGAAAGAUUAUUUCUAUCCAGACUGUGGCUUGUGGUUAAUGUAAAUUUAACUGUCUGCACCAGUGUUGAAAGAUGAGGUCUGCUGUGGUGGAUGUCCAGUGUAUGAGAUCUGUUGUUGUAUGAAAUGUAUCUUGUGGAAUCUCUAAUAGGGUUGGGAAGUUAGUGGUAAUAUAAGCAUUGAUGAGCUUAAGGUUUCUCUUCUGCUGUGAAGUAAGAAGAGGUGAAUGGCUGAUGACAGGAAUGUAUAUUGUUGCGUUUGGAAAUGUUUUCUUUGCCUCCUUGUGCAUACCUGACAACUGUUUUAAUGAUGUUUGGAAUGGGUCGUGAUCCUUGUUGUUCAAACCCACCGAGAUAACAACAGUCGCCGUGUCUGUAUGUAUGGGGGUUUUCUCCAGUACCUUUGUGAAAUGAUAGAAUGUUGCCCCUGGAUAACUGUCGACUUGGAUGUUGGGGUUAUUGAAUGGUGGGAUCCGGUUGAGGUUUGAGUCUCCUAUGAUGAGUAUUGGUGUGUGUCCUUCAAUGUUCCAAUCUGUCACCUUAUAAUUCGGCCUAGCUUUGUGAUAGAAGGGUUUUUGGGGAGGGUGUGUGGGUUUGGGCUGUGGUUGGGAUUGAAGAUGGGGUUGUGGUGGGGAUGAUGGUGGGUAUUUUGAGGCGCCAGUCGUACAGGGGUCCUGGACAGGCAGAGGCACAACGAUAUUAGUUGUUUGUGGGGGUUCGGAUCUGGGAGCUUUGGGGUGUUGCCCAUUGUCUUGCCCUUUGAUCAUCAUCAUACUCCCCUUGAAUUGCCCUCUCCUUGUCUGUACCCCUUGCCUGGCGCCUCCUAUGGGUGAAAGAGGAGCAGAUGUAAUUAUGUCUCUUAAUAGUAUUGAUACAUUACCCUGUACUUUUUUGCAGUUUGUGUUUUGUUUAAUAGGUGUGACUGUAGGUGUACUGGUUUCUGUUUGACUGUUGGCUGUGUGGUGAACCUGGGCUAUGAUAGGAGUGGCUGCUUUGGUUUCUGUUUGACUGUUGACUGUGUGGUGAACCUGGGCUAUGAUAGGAGUGGCUGCUUUGGGAGUAGGGGGACCCACUGGGCUUUUCCAUUUCUCCUCUUCAGUUAUAGGGGUUGCUAUUCUUACCUCUCCUUUUUGAUUGGAAAGGGAAGAAUCAGUGAAAGUGGAUGUUGAGGGUAGGGAGUGGAGAUGUGUUUUUGAAAGAGUCUGUAUGCGAAGGUUAUAGGUUUCACUCAGGGUCGGUUGUUUUCCCAGUGAUAGUGUCCGUAAGUAUGAUGGUUGUCUUUUUGGCAGGGGGCGAGGCUUUGAUAAAGGUGGAAAUUCCUCUGUUGAGGAGAGAGGGGGCACUGGGGUUGGAGUUGGUAUCGUUGGUGGGGAAAUUUGUAGUGGGGUGUGUUCUAUUGCUGGAAGUGUAUGUGGUUGGUCUCGUAUUGUGUUUGUCCGUAUAGUUGUUAGUUGGGGAGAGGAAGAGGCCUGAGGGAGUUCCAAAAUGGUUUCCACUCUAGUGAUGGUGGUGGGUGUCAGUUUAUGUUUGUACCUCUUAUGUGCCCAGCCUAUUGCGAUUGUCAGUGCCAAAGUGUUGGGUGUGUUUAUUUGUUGUUUAAUGGUGUGGGUGACUGACUGGUAAUGUGUCUGUAGUAUGUACAUGUUGUUUUGCAUCCACUGGUGUGUGUUCUGUGAUAAUUUUAUUGUGGUGUAGUCUGUGGGUGAAGAUGGUUUAAUAAAGUUGGUGACACGA